rnacentral:rRNA from 1 species
AGAUCGAAUGGGGAGAUUCAUCGUCAGCUCAUUUUGUAUAUGUAUGANGUUAUGAUGCGAGUUACUCUNUGUAGUAUUGCUUGCACGUACUUGUACGUUUAUUUGCAAGAUGUUGUCGGCGUGCACUUCUCCCCUAGUAGAACGUCGCGACCCGUUGGGUGUUGGUCUACGACCCGAGUGGGAGCCUUUAAUAUUUUNAUAAUAUUAAAGACCCUUGGUGUUUUCUGACCAGCUGCCCGGCGGUACUCGUACGGUAUUUAGCCGCANUUUAUUUNGCGUCCAUGUCCGUCGCAAGCGAGGUCAAUUUCUGGUAGUNGCGGACCUAGUGCCGUCGCUGGGAUUGACCAGCUGUUGGUUGUACGGAAUUCUAGGACUGGCUAAAAUAAU